CUACGGGAGGCUCCAGUGAGGAAUAUUGCACAAUGGGGGGAACCCUGAUGCAGCAACGCCGCGUGGAGGAUGACGCAUUUCGGUGUGUAAACUCCUUUUAUAUGUCAAGAAAAUGACGGUAGCAUAUGAAUAAGCACCGGCUAACUCCGUGCCAGCAGCCGCGGUAAUACGGAGGGUGCAAGCGUUACUCGGGAUCACUGGGCGUAAAGGACGCGUAGGCGGGUUGGAAAGUCAGGUGUGAAAUCCUACAGCUUAACUGUAGAACUGCACUUGAAACUUCUAAUCUAGGGUAUGGGAGGGGGAGAUGGAAUUAGUGGUGUAGGGGUAAAAUCCGUAGAUAUCACUAGGAAUACCUAAAGCGAAGGCGAUCUCCUGGAACAUUACUGACGCUAAGGCGUGAAAGCGUGGGGAGCAAACAGGAUUAGAUACCCCUGUAGUC
rnacentral:rRNA from 1 species